rnacentral:rRNA from 1 species
GCACAAGCGGUGGAGCAUGUGGUUUAAUUCGACGCAACGCGAAGAACCUUACCAGGGCUUGACAUCCCCUGACCGCGUAUGAAAGUACGUUUUCACCCUCGGGUGACAGGGAGACAGGUGGUGCAUGGUUGUCGUCAGCUCGUGUCGUGAGAUGUUGGGUUAGGUCCCGCAACGAGCGCAACCCCUACGUUUAGUUGCUAACGCGUGAAGGCGAGCACUCUAGACGAACUGCCGUUGACAAAACGGAGGAGGGUGGGAUGACGUCAAAUCAUCAUGCCCCUUAUGUUCUGGGCUACACACGUGCUACAAUGGCCGGUACAGACGGACGCAAAGCCGCGAGGUGGAGCAAAUCCUAAAAAGCCGGUCUCAGUUCGGAUUGCAGGCUGCAAUUCGCCUGCAUGAAGUCGGAAUCGCUAGUAAUCGCAGGUCAGCAUACUGCGGUGAAUACGUUCCCGGGCCUU